rnacentral:rRNA from 1 species
UACGUAGGGUGCGAGCGUUAAUCGGAAUUACUGGGCGUAAAGCGUGCGCAGGCGGUUUGUUAAGUCUGAUGUGAAAGCCCCGGGCUCAACCUGGGAAUGGCAUUGGAAACUGGCAAGCUAGAGUGUGGCAGAGGGGGGUGGAAUUCCGCGUGUAGCAGUGAAAUGCGUAGAGAUGCGGAGGAACACCGAUGGCGAAGGCAGCCCCCUGGGCCAACACUGACGCUCAGGCACGAAAGCGUGGGGAGCAAACAGG